rnacentral:rRNA from 1 species
GACGAACGCUGGCGGCGUGCUUAACACAUGCAAGUCGAACGGAAAGGCCCUGCUUUUGUGGGGUGCUCGAGUGGCGAACGGGUGAGUAACACGUGAGUAUCCUGCUCUUGACUUUGGGAUAACUUCAGGAAACUGGGGCUAAUACCGGAUAGGAGCUCCUGCUGCAUGGUGGGGGUUGGAAAGUUUCGGCUGUUGGGGAUGGACUCGCGGCUUAUCAGCUUGUUGGUGGGGUAGUGGCUUACCAAGGCUUUGACGGGUAGCCGGCCUGAGAGGGUGACCGGCCACAAUAGGACUAAGGGACGGACCAGACUCCUACGGGAGGCAGUAGUGGGGAGUAUUACACAAUGGGCGGAAGCCUGAGGCAGCGACGCCGCGUGCGGAAUGACGGCCUUCUGGUUGUAAACCGCUUUCGCCUGUGACGAAGCGUGAGUGACGGUAAUGGGUAAAGAAGCACCGGCUAACUACGUG